UAGAGGAGAGAGGGAGGAGAGGAAAGAGAGAGGAGAGAAGGAAGAGAGGAUUAGUAACACAGUUCUCCAUUAAGCUACUUCCUGUCCGUGGAGUUUACCCAGGAAGACGGCCCCCUGGGCCCCGCUCCCUACCCACUGCAGCUCAGAGAUGUCCUCAAACGGCACCUCCCAGAGCUCUGGAGAGGAGGGAGAGAGAGAGAGAGAGAGACAGAGAGAGAGA